AAGUACUGCGUGGGUAUGAUCCAGUUAGUUUGAUGUUCUAAAGAUUGAGAAAAGUUUCUCUGGUGCUUA
rnacentral:tRNA from 1 species